rnacentral:rRNA from 1 species
CCUACGGGUGGCAGCAGUGGGGAAUAUUGCGCAAUGGAGGCAACUCUGACGCAGUGACGCCGCGUGAAGGAAGAAGGUUUUCGGAUUGUAAACUUCUUUACAAAGGGAAGAAGAAAGACAGUACCUGUAGGGUAAGCUCCGGCUAACUACGUGCCAGCAGCCGCGGUAAUACGUAGGGAGCAAGCGUUAUCCGUAUUUAUUGGGGGUAAAGAGUGCGUAGACGGAGAAGCAAGUUAGUUGUGAAAUCCCUCGGCUUAACUGAGGAACUGCAACUAAAACUAGUUCCCUUGAGUACUGGAGAGGAAAGUGGAAUUCCUAGUGUAGCGGUGAAAUGCGUAGAUAUUAGGAGGAACACCAGUGGCGAAGGCGACUUUCUGGACAGUAACUGACGUUGAGGCACGAAAGUGUGGGGAGCAAACAGGAUUAGAUACCCGGGUAGUC